rnacentral:rRNA from 1 species
UACAGAGGGUGCAAGCGUUGUUCGGAAUUAUUGGGCGUAAAGGGCGCGUAGGCGGUGCUGUAAGUCUGUAGUGAAAUCUCUGGGCUCAACUCAGAGUCUGCUAUAGAAACUGCAGUGCUAGAGUGUGGGAGAGGUGAGUGGAAUUCCCGGUGUAGCGGUGAAAUGCGUAGAUAUCAGGAAGAACACCCGUGGCUAAGGCGGCUCUCUAGUACGGUACUGACGCUGAGACGCGAAAGCGUGGGGAGCGAACAGG